rnacentral:lncRNA from 1 species
GCAAGUCCACUUGAAGAAAUGUUUCGAAGCAAUUGCGGGCCUCAAUUUCACUCCGGAAUUAGAAAUCACUCACAUGAGGAGCCACGAAAAUGAGGUUUUCGAGCUGGCCGAAUGCAUUAACACCGCCGCCGCCAGAGGACAAGUAGAAAAAUGGUUCCUCGA